CCCUCCAGAUACAAGUUCCAGUGUGGCGAUUGAACAGCUCAGAUUUGUAAACCCACUGUCGACAUUGCAGGAGGGUCUUUAUGUGAUGCGCACCUCGACUGGCCGACUCUACGCUAGGAGCUACGAACGUGAACAAACGCCACCGGUCCAAGAAGGAGUGUUUGUUGUGCGUAGGUGUUCCAUAAGUGGUGUGUGUGGCUAUUCAAAGAAAUCACCAGAGCAACGCAUUGUUUUCCAGA